rnacentral:rRNA from 1 species
GCGACCCCAGGAUGGGCGGGGCGACCCGCU